UCUGGUGAGGAAAUGGAUUCCGCUUCGGGAGGGCCUCGCGGCCUAUCAGCUUGUUGGUGGGGUAACGGCCCACCAAGGCAUCGACGGGUAGCUGGUCUGAGAGGACGAUCAGCCACACUGGGACUGAGACACGGCCCAGACUCCUACGGGAGGCAGCAGUGGGGAAUCUUGCGCAAUGGGCGAAAGCCUGACGCAGCAACGCCGCGUGGGGGAUGAAGGCUCUCGGGUUGUAAACCCCUUUCAGUAGGGACGAAUUCAGACGGUACCUACAGAAGAAGCCCCGGCCAACUACGUGCCAGCAGCCGCGGUAACACGUAGGGGGCAAGCGUUGUCCGGAUUUAUUGGGCGUAAAGAGCUCGUAGGCUGUUCGGUAAGUCGGGUGUGAAACCCCCAGGCUCAACCUGGGGACGCCACCCGAUACUGCUGUGACUCGAGUCCGGUAGGGGAGCGUGGAAUUCCUGGUGUAGCGGUGAAAUGCGCAGAUAUCAGGAGGAACACCAGCGGCGAAGGCGGCGCUCUGGGCCGGUACUGACGCUGAGGAGCGAAAGCGUGGGUAGCAAACAGGAUUAGAUACCCUGGUAGUCCACGCCGUAAACGUUGGGCACUAGGUGUGGGGUCUUAUCAACGGAUUCCGUGCCGUAGCUAACGCAUUAAGUGCCCCGCCUGGGGAGUACGGCCGCAAGGCUAAAACUCAAAGGAAUUGACGGAAUCGAAUU
rnacentral:rRNA from 1 species